AUUGAACGCUGGCGGCAGGCCUAACACAUGCAAGUCGAACGAGUGGCGGACGGGUGAGUAAUGUCUGGGAAACUGCCUGAUGGAGGGGGAUAACUACUGGAAACGGUCGCUAAUACCGCAUACUAUCAGAUGAGCCCAGUUGGGAUUAGCUAGUUGGUGGGGUAAAGGCCCACCAAGGCGACGAUCCCUAGCUGGUCUGAGAGGAUGACCGGUCACACUGGAACUGAGACACGGUCCAGACGCCUACGGGAGGCAGCAGUGGGGAAUAUUGGACAAUGGGCGAAAGCCUGAUCCAGCCAUGCCGCGUGUGUGAAGAAGGUCUUCGGAUUGUAAAGUACUUUCAGUUGGGAGGCGUUACCAACAGAAUAAGCACCGGCUAACUUCGUGCCAGCAGCCGCGGUAAUAC
rnacentral:rRNA from 1 species